AAGUUGACGACAAGCCGGUAAAAGUUGACAAAUGGGACGGAUCUCCGGCCAAAAACUCCUUGGAUGACGCGGCCAAAAAGCGCCUGCAGCCUUUGUCGGACUCUGAGAACGAGGAACCGGUUAGAGCGCCUUACAGGUCGGCUUUUGUCUCCAAGAACAACGCAAGCUGCUCUACAUCUCUGACAUGGAGCAUUCAGUCCAAACUGGAGCGCAGUCAGAGCUGCACCGACACCGUGACCGAUGCCCCACCUCCAACGCGGCGGAGAGCCGCCCAGUCUCAGAAGACGAAGGUUCCCGGUAAUAACGGCAGCUUGGCAGGUGUCGCCGGCGUCCUGUUGUCUACAGAGAACAGCCGGUCGUUCUCGGCUCCCGUCCUCACCUCGGA